ACCUGGAUGGAGCAACUACACAUAAUGAUUUCCUUAAUUUUACAGGUGAAUCGUCCUCACCCUGGUGAUCAUCCUCUUCUGAUCAUCUUUAUGGUUGGUGGAGUGUCGGUCUCUGAGGUCAAAAUGGUGAAGGAUUUGGUAGCAACACGCAAACCUGGUACCCAGGUAAUCGUGCUCUCCUCUGCACUCCUGACACCACAUAGUGCUGUUGAGUUGUUGUUUGCCCCAGACCAUCUCCAGCCCGACACUGAUAUCUGACAGGGGAGGAUCUGUGGAGAAGAUGAGUGCCUAACCCAGAAACAUCCAAUCCCUGGUCUGUCACUCUUCUCGGUAGCCCUCCAAAAACUGACGUGUCACCUGCUGCAGGUGAAGCAGCUGGGUAUCUGGCUGCUGGGUAUCUGGCUGCAUGUGCAGCUCAUGGGCAGCUCUUCAAAAUGGUCCAGUUGUCCAGCAAGAAGCCCCCCCCUCCUUAACAAUAGCACUAUGCAGUUUGAAUCACUCCCAGCCCCAUUUGACAGUGGGGAGAGUGAUUGUCAUAAUUCCCUAGAAAAGAAGCGGCUGAGAACCAGGUGAUUCUGAAUUUUCCUUCCCCAACAAGCAGUACUUUUUUCUCUGAGAAUUCCUGAUGAUUUUGCUGGGGUUGUGUUUGGCGGGAAAUGCUGCUAAGGGAGUGAAAAGCCAGCAAAAUCCACCCUUUGUCAUGCUACCUUGAAAAAUAUGUGUGCCUUAUACAAUGUGAAAAGCCUCUGCUCUUACUUCAUCCCUCACUGCAGAGAGAUCAUGGAGCACAGCCCUGUCUUAGCUGGCAGGGCAGCUCCCAGUCCAGUGAUGCUCUCCUGGCAGGACUGGUAGAGGCAGGGAAGCGGAGAACCAGACUCAAGGGCUGGGUUACAUGGCUUCUCUCUCAGCUUUCUGUUUCCUGCUCUAGUUUCUCCACCCACAGUCCCAAGAGAAAAGAUUGUUUCUGAUGGCACACAUAUCUAGAUUUACGCAGGAGGGCAUAUGGGCUGUGUUGGUUUGAUGAUAACCCUGGAAGAAUCCUCCCCUCACAUGCAUUUAAAAAAAAGAGAGAAAAAAAAAGGCAUGGUCCCAUUUUCAAGAGGCCACAGCACAGAUCCAUUCUUGAGCUAGAUUUCUGAACAGCGUGAUUAGAGAACUGCUUUUAUUUUAUGUUCACAAAAGAGCUGCAGUCAAAUUCAGUUAUGUAAUUUUUCUUUAUAAAACUUUGCUACGAUCUCUGAUAACAAAGCAGCCAAUAGAAAUUGUAGUUGCAUAUAGCACUAAGAUUUACAAAUUGCAGCAUAAAAUGGUGGAGCUCUAAAGCUGCAUCCUUUUUCUUCAUUUAAGGAAUGCUAUGACUACAGCUUACAAUGAGAUGAGAAUGUGAAAUUAUAAGUGGCAUUCACUCUAUCAUAGCAUUCUUUAUUAUGCCAAAGAGUAGUUUAAAUGGGAAGUAGCUUUUUUUACAUUUUGUUCACUAGCUAGCAUUAGUUCUCCUAAUGUUUAUAAUGGUCUUCAGAAAAGGGUGCAUUUUGGUUUAAGUUCACUUUUGAGUGGCUGGAAGGAAACAAUGGACCAAUUAUAAAGCAUGGACAAUGUCGCCUCUAUGGAAGAGAAAUUUAUAAGGAUGACUAUAGAAUAGAACUUUGUGCUAUAAAAAAUGAGAAAUGUUAUGUGAUUGCAAUAUUAAAAUCUCAAGGAAUAGUUUGAACAGAGCAACUGGAAAGCAAAUAGCCAGUCUCUUGGUUUCUUUUCUGUCAUUCUGUACUGUUUAAUCUUAGAAUAUGGUUGUUUUGCAGAUUCUGUAAUCAAUAAAGCGAUGCUCUUACAAUGC